GUGUCCCUCUGGCCAGUUCAGAGCUGCUGCCUGGCUGCAUCCCCAGGCUGCAGGGAAAGAGAAAUCCCCAGCACUGGGCAGGCACUGCUCAGCAACAGCCAAAACAUUGAACCUGACCAGGAUUUUCAGACAUCUGUGCCCAAGCUCAAGAAAUGACAUCAAGAUGUACCUCCAGUCCUCCAAAUACUCAUGUAUUUUGAUUAUCUGAGAGUGAUCAUCUUGAAGUGUAGUGGAAGUGAAGUAAGACGAGGAAAUGCAGAAGUGGUGCUGUCUGUGAUUUCAGUUCAGCACUUCAGUCAAGUAAAAAGCCACAAAAUCAUACAGCCUCACUGGUAAACUGUGAUUUUACAUGGAAUUCUGAAAUAUCCCAG